rnacentral:rRNA from 1 species
UACGGAGGAUCCAAGCGUUAUCCGGAAUCAUUGGGUUUAAAGGGUCCGUAGGCGGUCUUAUAAGUCAGUGGUGAAAUCUCUCCGCUCAACGGGGAAACGGCCAUUGAUACUGUAAGACUUGAAUUAUUGUGAAGUAACUAGAAUAUGUAGUGUAGCGGUGAAAUGCUUAGAGAUUACAUGGAAUACCGAUUGCGAAGGCAGGUUACUAACAAUGGAUUGACGCUGAUGGACGAAAGCGUGGGGAGCGAACAGG